rnacentral:rRNA from 1 species
AUUGAACGCUGGCGGCAGGCCUAACACAUGCAAGUCGAACGGUAACAGGAAACACCUUGCUGUUUCGCUGUCGAGUGGCGGGCGGGUGUGUCAUGUCUGUGAAACAGCCUGAUGGAGGGGGAUAACUACUGGAAACGGUAGCUAAUACCGCAUAUCGUCGCAAGACCAAAGAGGGGGACCCUCGGGCCUCUUGCCAUCGGAUGUGCCCUGAUGGGAUUAGCUUGUUGGUGGGGUAACGGCUCACCAAGGCGACGAUCCCUAGCUGGUCUGAGAGGAUGACCAGCCACACUGGAACUGAGACACGGUCCAGACUCCUACGGGAGGCAGCAGUGGGGAAUAUUGCACAAUGGGCGCAAGCCUGAUGCAGCCAUGCCGCGUGUAUGAAGAAGGCCUUCGGGUUGUAAAGUACUUUCAGCGGGGAGGAAGGGAGGAAAGUUAAUACCUUUGCUCAUUGACGUUACCCGCAGAAGAAGCAACGGCUAACUCCGUG